UGACGUCACUUUAACUAACUAAACGGCUACCAUUAUGGUAUGGGGGCAAACAAAGCGCUUGAAAAUGGAGAAAUGUGUUUUUGAUUGUUCAAUUAAUGUUAAUAGUCAUCCGAACUUGAUUUUUUAUAUUUUGCUUCCUGAUCCAAAGAGAAGAAAAUCGGGGCUUUAUGCUUUAUAUAGAACUGAUUCAUCUUGCAAAAACAAACUUUGGUCGCAAAACAUGUCUAAAAUAUUAUGUACAAAAAAGUCAUUGCAAUAAAUCUCAAGUUAUUCAAGUCAGUGAACAAAUAAGUACUGACAAUUCGUUGACUGGAGUGGAAGAUGUUAGUGUCUUGAACCAACAUGAAACAACAAGUUAACUUAGCUGAGAAUGAUGGUAGUUUAAAAAUAAUGCAGCAUUGGCUAGGAUUGUUCCUAGAUCACAAAAACAAUCUUACAAAUAGAGUUUCUGCUGUUGUCACUUGUUUUAGAGAGUACCUUCGUGAAUGAAGAUAAAAAGUCAUUUAUGUUAUUUUUUAAAAGCCAAGACAUAAUAUUGUUAAUCCUCAUACUAUUUACUAAAAAACUUUAUAAAUAUUGUUACGAUGUUAUAAUUCAAGUUGUUGUAAUUAGUAAUUUUGAUCAUUUCAUUAUUAUACUGUAAAAAAUAUUUUUUAUUUAUAACAUUUAUUUCACAUAUAUUAAAAACAUGAGGAAUAAAUAUUACACUGAGGAAAAUUUUAAGCAAAAUAUAGAAUUUUUAAAUGUUAUUAGAAUAUCAAUAUGUAAUA